CCUACGGGAGGCAGCAGUGAGGAAUAUUGGUCAAUGGGCUUACGCCUGAACCAGCCAAGUCGCGUGAGGGAAGACUGCCCUAUGGGUUGUAAACCUCUUUUGGCAGGGAGCAAUGCCGGCCACGCGUAGCCGGACGGAGAGUACCCGCAGAAAAAGCAUCGGCUAACUCCGUGCCAGCAGCCGCGGUAAUACGGAGGAUGCGAGCGUUAUCCGGAUUUAUUGGGUUUAAAGGGUGCGUAGGCGGAAUGUUAAGUCAGCGGUAAAAUGGCGGGGCUCAACCUCGCUCCGCCGUUGAAACUGGCGUUCUUGAGUGGGCGAGAAGUAUGCGGAAUGCGUGGUGUAGCGGUGAAAUGCAUAGAUAUCACGCAGAACUCCGAUUGCGAAGGCAGCAUACCGGCGCCCGACUGACGCUGAGGCACGAAAGCGUGGGUAUCGAACAGGAUUAGAUACCCGGGUAGUC
rnacentral:rRNA from 1 species